GGCGGCGUGCUUAACACAUGCAAGUCGAACGGAAAGGUCUCUUCGGAGACACUCGAGUGGCGAACGGGUGAGUAACACGUGGGCAAUCUGCCCUGCACACCGGGAUAAGCCUGGGAAACUGGGUCUAAUACCGGAUAGGACCACUUGGCGCAUGCCUUGUGGUGGAAAGCUUUUGCGGUGUGGGAUGGGCCCGCGGCCUAUCAGCUUGUUGGUGGGGUGAUGGCCCACCAAGGCGACGACGGGUAGCCGGCCUGAGAGGGUGUCCGGCCACACUGGGACUGAGAUACGGCCCAGACUCCUACGGGAGGCAGCAGUGGGGAAUAUUGCACAAUGGGCGCAAGCCUGAUGCAGCGACGCCGCGUGGGGGAUGACGGCCUUCGGGUUGUAAACCUCUUUCACCAUCGACGAAGGUCCGGGUUCUCUCGGAUUGACGGUAGGUGGAGAAGAAGCAC
rnacentral:rRNA from 1 species